ACCUCUCAUAAUGAUGAUAUCAUCAUUUAUAUUCUUGUUGGACUUGGCCAGGAGUAUGAUUCCCUAACCUCCACCAUUUCCUCAUGACUUGAUCCUGUCAGUUUGGAGGAACUCUUUUCUCUGCUUCUCAUAUGUGAA